rnacentral:lncRNA from 1 species
GCCAUUUGCGGACGGCCGGCUGAUACUUAUCUGCAGGUAAUUAGAACUUGGACCUGGAAUCACGCAUACAGUUUCCGCCGUUGUUCCAGGACUGCUUUCGCACAGUAACACUGACAAUGAUAAUUAUACACUUCCCCUGUACUUUGACAUGGUUGACGUGUAGUUUAUAGAAGCUUCGAUUCUGUGUACCUUCAAGAGAAGUUUUUUCGAUUCCAAGCUUUUUGUUCGUUUCGUAUAGAAGUUUAUGUUCGUUAAGUGUGUCGACUUUCGGUACUACGCUGCGAAUGUUAAUAAGGUGGACAGUGUAAAUAACGGUGACAUAACUGAAAUGAAGGUUAUGUGCCCGGUCUAUACAGUUAGAUUUUGAGAUUAUGUUGUUUUUGGUAAUUACUAUAAGUAUACAAGUGCUCUGUUGACUAACUCGAUGAUCACCGAUGUUGACAUGGGAUCAAGAUCGCAUUUACAGGCAUCGGCUAAAGUUAUUACACAGACUGGAAGCGAAAAGUAGGAAACUGUCGAGGAAAAGGCAGCCGGACACCUUUCUCGUUAAUAGAGAACGGCGGAACUCUUUCUAUCAACUUUCUAGUCCCGUCACGGCAAUUAGCAAAGUACCUGCACGUGCGGAUAAAUCCUCUCGUGGCAGAAGCGCGACUUAUUUAUGACCAUCCGCGUCCCGAGACCCGACUAAAGGGUUAAAAGCGAAACAAUGCCACGGUCGACAUUGUUUUGAUGCAGUCAGAACUGAGGAAGAUCGGUGAAAAGGCGCAUAAACCCUCACGUCGUGUGCCAGUUUUCCCAAACGGAAGCUUCGACGUGAAACCCGUUGGUUUUUCCAUCCGCUGACAUUUUCUCUCUGUACGAAAAUUGCCAAUAAAAAGAUUUGUCUGUUCGACCGCUAGAA